GUUACAUUGAUUACCCACCUAGUACAACAUCUUACGGAAAGAGCAUAGUAUUUCCUAGAGGAAUAUGAACAUAACAGGAAGGUAUCAUUGGCUCUGAAUUAAAUUUGAACUUGUCCCCUGAAUAGCUACAGGUUUUGGAAGCUGAAUCAAUGUUAUCAGAUGAGUUAGAAUCCAAACCAGAGCUCCUGGUACAGUUUGUUCAGAAUACGUCCAUCCCAUUGGGACAGGGGCUUGUAGAAUCAGAAGCUAAAGAUAUUACUUGCUUGUCCCUCCUUCCCGUGACUGAAGCCUCAGAAUGCAGUCGGCUAAUGUUACCAGAUGAUACUACAAAUCAUUCUAACUCCUCCAAGGAGGUCCCUUCCUCAGCUGUUUUGAGAAGCCUUCGGGUGAAUGUGGGUCCAGACGGAGAGGAGACGAGAGCUCAGACUGUACAGAAAUCCCCGGAGUUUUUGUCCACUUCAGAGUCUUCUAGCUUGUUGCAAGAUCUACAGCCAAGUGAUAGCACUUCUUUUAUUCUUCUUAACCUAACAAGAGCAGGUCUGGGCUCUUCAGCUGAGCACUUAGUGUUUGUACAGGAUGAGGCAGAAGAUUCAGGGAAUGAUUUCCUCUCCAGUGAGAGCACAGACAGUAGCAUUCCAUGGUUCCUCCGGGUUCAGGAGUUGGCCCAUGACAGUUUGAUUGCUGCUACUCGUGCACAACUGGCAAAGAAUGCAAAAACCAGCAGCAAUGGAGAAAAUGUCCACCUUGGUUCUGGUGAUGGGCAGUCAAAAGAUUCUGGGCCCCUUCCUCAAGUGGAAAAGAAGCUCAAGUGUACAGUUGAAGGUUGUGACCGGACAUUUGUAUGGCCAGCUCACUUUAAAUACCACCUCAAGACUCAUCGAAAUGACCGCUCCUUCAUCUGUCCUGCAGAAGGUUGUGGGAAAAGCUUCUAUGUGCUGCAGAGGCUGAAGGUGCACAUGAGGACCCACAAUGGAGAGAAGCCCUUUAUGUGCCAUGAGUCUGGCUGUGGUAAGCAGUUUACUACAGCUGGAAACCUGAAGAACCACCGGCGCAUCCACACAGGAGAGAAACCUUUCCUUUGUGAAGCCCAAGGAUGUGGCCGUUCCUUUGCUGAGUAUUCUAGCCUCCGAAAACAUCUGGUGGUUCACUCAGGAGAGAAGCCUCAUCAGUGCCAAGUCUGUGGGAAGACCUUCUCUCAGAGUGGAAGCAGGAAUGUGCAUAUGAGAAAGCAUCACCUGCAGCUGGGAGCAGCUGGGAGUCAAGAGCAGGAGCAAACUGGUUUAUUCUUGUUUCUCGAAAGUAGGUGAAAUAGGAGGUGGCAUCCCAUCUAUAGGUUAACUUCUAGUAAUGAAAGAGAAGGCCAGCUUCUGUUGAAAGAAAAUGAGGACCAGGCACAGCCUUGAUUGCUGUAUGUCUCUCACAACCUAUUCUCUGUGCAGCUGAGCCACUGAUGGGCAGUAGUUUGCUUGAAGAGGCUUCAGUACCCAGUAAAAACCUGGUGUCUGUGAAUUCCCAGCCCAGCCUUGGUGGAGAGUCCUUGAACCUACCAAAUACCAAUUCUAUCCUGGGAGUUGAUGAUGUUAUGGAAGAACUUAACUUUUAAAACAUUUAAACAGAACAUAACCAGGUUUUACAGAGGAGAUAUAAAGCAAUUUCUCCAUACCUUCAAAAGCCAUAUCUUCUGGAGAAAAGAAAGGGCUCUCUAGGAAACACUUGCUCCUCUCUGGUAUAGAAAUUUCACCCAAGUUACACAGGCCAGGCCCUCUUCUCUGAAAAACUUAACAGAGGUGCUUGCUGAAGGAUCCCCACGUUCCCUGUCUUCAGUGCCUGAUGUGACACAUCACCUGGUGACCAUGCAGUCAGGGAGGCAAUCAUAUGAAGUUUCUGUCUUAACUGCAGUAAAUCCACAAGAGUUACUAAACCAAGGAGAUUUAACUGAAAGACGGACAUGAGCAUGGGUGCUGACUCCUGGAAGAGCAACUCUAUCUGAUCUCAAAAUGCGUAUACUGGGAACAGGAUGCCUUAGCCCACAACAGAACCAGAAUGAAUCUUUGAAGGCACAAGACUCUGCUUUUGCCACUCUUCCUCUUUCCUGGUAUAGAAGAUGGAUGUAGGAGAGCUUCUUUUCUAACUACCAUCUGAUCAGACAAGGAAUGAAGCAAUGACUGUGGGCUGGGAAACUGUACCUACCUCUCUUCCCACUGCAAAUUUCUGGGAUAGACCAAAAGUGAAUUUGAUUAUGUGUUGGCUGAAGUUCUUCAUUCUGACUGUUGAGGGGAGGUUUUCCUUUGAAGAGUUUUCAUCCCAGACUCAGCUGUCUUUUCACAUGGAUGAAAUAAUUCCUGCUACCGACAACAGAGCUUCACCAGGAAGUUGAGUUUUCAAGAUGCCUUGUUGCUUUGAAGAAGGGAGUGAUGUCAAUUCUCUUGUUACAUUCUCCCUUUAGCAACCUGAGUAAGAGACUCUCUGCCACUGGGCUGCAAAAAAAUAAAUUACUUGAAUCUCCCCUUGGCCCAGGCUGAGGUACUAUCUUGUCCUAUACACUUCUACUUGGUCACUUUGCUUUCUUCGUUAAUGGAACAUACAGUAGCAUGUUAAGAGGGAUUUCAUGUUUUUGUUUUUUUAAAGUUAAAAAUUACAUGAUGCAGAGAUUCAGGUUUUCCUUUAAAUAAACAAACAGCCCAGUCA